rnacentral:rRNA from 1 species
UAUCCUGGACCGUGCGAAGGUAGCAUAAUCACUUGUUCUUUAAAUGGGGACUUGUAUCAACGGCAUCACGAGGGUUUUACUGUCUCCUUUUUCUAAUCAGCGAAACUAAUCUCCCCGUGAAGAAGCGGGGAUAUUUAUAUAAGACGAGAAGACCCCAUGGAGCUUCAAACCCAAUUACACCCCCCCCCCCCCC